rnacentral:lncRNA from 1 species
UGGUUUUCCCACCUCAGCCUCCUAAAUAGCUGGGAUUACAGGCACCCACCACCACACCUGGCUAAUUUUUGUAUUUUUAGUAGAGAUGGGGUUUCACCAUGUUGGCCAGGCUGGUCUCAAACUCCUCGGUUUAAUUCUGUUGUGGGUAGAGAAUAUAUUUUAUGUGAUCUAAGGCCCAGCAUAUAUGUGUGAACAUUCUGUGUAGACUUGAAAAGGAUAUAUAUUCUGUAGUCGUUAGGUUUAGUGUUCUAUAGUACCUUCAAUUGGCUUUAAAAAAUUUUUUUUU